GUAUGACCAGGAAGGGGAAAAACAAGGGUUCCAUCCUUGUUCAAGCUAAAAACCCCAAAUUGAGGAUCAAUUCAAGACCAAAUCAAUGCAUGAACAUGUAUAAACGAUCACCAAGUCAAGAGGAUCGAAAGUUUGACGCUUAACGAGCUAGGUGGCGGCUUGGGAAAAGAAGCGAGUCAAAUGGAUCGGGUGCGCGGAAAAGAGCAUAACCGGAUGCAAUGUGAACCAAGUAAUCAUUUGGAUGAAGAUCAAGCAUGGAAAAAGAACCGAACACACUAAAAUGAAGCUUCCGCAAGUUGUGCCGUCGUUAUUUUUAAAUGACGAAUUUAAUUACCUUAUGUAGUAGUACUUUAAAUUGUAAAAGUUUCUAGUAAACCCGUAUUUUAUAAGUAAGUGUAUUCUUAAGUACACACUAAUUUGUAGUUAUUAGUACAAAAACCGUUUUAUAAUAGUAAGGGUGUUACAUAAAAUCCCGGUUUCACUACAUUCGAGAAUGUGUUGAUCGUGAAGAUAUCGUGGUCGAGCAUGUUAGUGGCAUUGAUCAAAAGGCGGAUAUUUUGACGAAGGCUCUUGGGAAGAUCAAGUUCAAGGAGAUGACUGAAAAGCUUGGAGUUGAAGACUUGUCAGAUACGAGUUCGAAAUUCCGGGGGUGAUUGUUGGAAAUUUCGAAUUAAAGGUUCCUUU